AUUGAACGCUGGCGGCAGGCCUAACACAUGCAAGUCGAGCGGAGCGGCGGAUGGGUGAGUAAUGUCUAGGAAUCUGCCUGGUAGUGGGGGAUAACGUCCGGAAACGGGCGCUAAUACCGCAUACUAUCAGAUGAGCCUAGGUCGGAUUAGCUAGUUGGUGGGGUAAAGGCCUACCAAGGCGACGAUCCGUAACUGGUCUGAGAGGAUGAUCAGUCACACGGGAACUGAGGCACGGACCAUACUCCUACGGGGGGCAGCAGUGGGGAAUAUUGGACAAUGGGCUAAAGCCUGAUCCAGCCAUGCCGCGUGUGGGAAGAAGGUCUUCGGAUUGUAAAGCACUUUAAGUUGGGAGGCGUUACCGACAGGAUAAGCAACGGCUAACUUCGUGCCAGCAGCCGCGGUAAUUC
rnacentral:rRNA from 1 species